AGGGCUAUAGCUCAGUUAGGUAGAGCACCUCGUUUAUUUACCGAGCAGGUCUACGGUUCGAAUCCGUAUAGCCCUA
rnacentral:tRNA from 1 species